GUUACCUCCUUCAUCUUG
rnacentral:rRNA from 1 species